UACAGAGGGUGCGAGCGUUGUUCGGAAUUACUGGGCGUAAAGCGCGCGUAGGCGGCUUUGUAAGUUAGAGGUGAAAGCCCGGAGCUCAACUCCGGAACUGCCUUUAAAACUGCAUCGCUUGAAUCCAGGAGAGGUGAGUGGAAUUCCGAGUGUAGAGGUGAAAUUCGUAGAUAUUCGGAAGAACACCAGUGGCGAAGGCGGCUCACUGGACUGGUAUUGACGCUGAGGUGCGAAAGCGUGGGGAGCAAACAGG
rnacentral:rRNA from 1 species